rnacentral:rRNA from 1 species
UACGGAGGAGGCAAGCGUUAUCCGGAAUUAUUGGGCGUAAAGCGUCCGUAGGUGGCACUUCAAGUCUGCGGUCAAAGCCCGGGGCUUAACCCUGGAAAGGCCGUGGAAACUGACGUGCUAGAGUGCAGUAGGGGUAGAGGGAAUUCUCGGUGUAGCGGUGAAAUGCGUAGAGCUCGGGAAGAACAUCGGUGGCGAAAGCGCUCUACUGGACUGCAACUGACGCUGAGGGACGAAAGCUAGGGGAGCGAAUGGG